rnacentral:rRNA from 1 species
AACGAACGCUGGCGGCAUGCCUAACACAUGCAAGUCGAACGAGACGUCCGGGCUUUGUGGCGCAGGGGUGCGUAACGCGUGGGAACCUGCCCUUAGGUACGCAAUAACUCACUGAAAGGGGUGCUAAUACAGGAUAAUGUCUUAGGACCAAAGAUUUAUUGCCUUUGGAUGGGCCCUCGUUGGAUUCGCUAGUUGGUAGGGUAAAAGCAUAGCAAGGCGUCGAUGCAUAGCUGGUCUGUGAGGAUGAUCAGCAACGCUGGAGCUAAGACACGGCCCAGACUCCGACGGAAGGGAGGAGAGGAUAAUAUUGGACACUGGGGGAAGGCCUGAUCCAGCAAUGCCGCGUGAGUGAUGAAGGCCGUAGUGUUGUAAUGCUCUUUUACCCGGGAUGAUAAUGACGGUACCGGGUGAAUAAGCUCCGGCUAACUCCGUG